rnacentral:snRNA from 1 species
AUCCUUGCCUGGCAGGAGAGAGAUUACGUUCACAAACAUGGGUUCUCCAGUAAGAGACUAUUAUACUGGUCUCCAGGUGUGCUUGACCUCUGUUAUUCUCCAGAUGUGGAAAAUUCAAUGCACAUUUGCGGUAGUGGGGUCUGCACCCCC